GACGAACGCUGGCGGCGUGCUUAACACAUGCAAGUCGAACGGAAAGGCCCUGCUUUUGUGGGGUGCUCGAGUGGCGAACGUGUUAGUAACACGUUAGUAACCUGCCCUUGACUUUGGGAUAACUUCAGGAAACUGGGGCUAAUACCGGAUAUGAGCUCCUGCUGCAUGGUGGGGGUUGGAAAGUUUCGGCGGUUGGGGAUGGACUCGCGGCUUAUCAGCUUGUUGGUGGGGUAGUGGCUUACCAAGGCUUUGACGGGUAGCCGGCCUGAGAGGGUGACCGGCCACAUUGGGACUGAGAUACGGCCCAGACUCCUACGGGAGGCAGCAGUGGGGAAUAUUGCACAAUGGGCGGAAGCCUGAUGCAGCAACGCCGCGUGCGGGAUGACGGCCUUCGGGUUGUAAACCGCUUUCGCCUGUGACGAAGCGUGAGUGACGGUAAUGGGUAAAGAAGCACCGGCUAACUACGUG
rnacentral:rRNA from 1 species